AUUGAACGCUGGCGGCAGGCCUAACACAUGCAAGUCGAGCGAGCGGCGGACGGGUGAGUAAUGUAAGGGGACUGACAGAUAGAGGGGGAUAACUACUGGAAACGGUAGCUAAUACCGCAUACUAUCGGAUAACCCAGAUGGGAUUAGCUAGUAGGUGAGGUAAUGGCCCACCGAGGCGACGAUCCCUAGCUGGUCUGAGAGGAUGAUCAACCACACUGGAAAUGAGACACGGCCCAGACUCCUACGGAGGCAGCAGUGGGGAAUAUUGCACAAUGGGCGCAAGCCUGAUGCAGCCAUGCCGCGUGUGUGAAGAAGGCCCUAGGGUUGUAAAGUACUGUCAGUGGGGAGGCGUUACCGGCAGAAGAAGCACCGGCUAACUCCGUGCCAGCAGCCGCGGUAAUUC
rnacentral:rRNA from 1 species